CCUACGGGAGGCAGCAGUGAGGAAUAUUGGUCAAUGGGCGCGCGCCUGAACCAGCCAAGUCGCGUGAGGGAAGACGGCCCUACGGGUUGUAAACCUCUUUUGCCGGGGAGCAACGCGCGCCACGUGUGGCGCCCCUGAGAGUACCCGGAGAAAAAGCCUCGGCUAACUCCGUGCCAGCAGCCGCGGUAAUACGGAGGAUGCGAGCUGUAUCCGGAUUUAUUGGGUUUAAAGGGUGCGUAGGCGGAGCGUUAAGUCAGUGGUCAAAUUGAGGGGCUCAACCCCUUCCCGCCAUUGAAACUGGCGAUCUUGAGUGGAAGAGAAGUAUGCGGAAUGCGUGGUGUAGCGGUGAAAGGCAUAGAUAUCACGCAGAACCCCGAUUGCGAAGGCAGCAUGCCGGCGUCCGACUGACGCUGAAGCACGAAAGCGUGGGGAUCGAACAGGAUUAGAUACCCGUGUAGUC
rnacentral:rRNA from 1 species